GUGGCUGGUUGACCUUUCAUGACCUCUGGAAACAUUAAUAUCUUUAAACCGAUAGAACAAACAAGUUUUCCUCCACAAAUGUUUGACUCCAAUUUUGUUAGAUUAGAAGAAGGUGGAGAGACCAACUUCACUCAGGUGUUUGUGGCAGUGAUUGGGAUGUACAGCUGGUAAAUCACUGUCUUCACAACAUAAGUUCAGACUCACCAAGCAGAAGCUGCAGGUCCAGACAAAGAAAGCCUAGAACAAUGCACAGCAGGUGCUGUACUGCUUCCCCCUCCUGAGACGCUGGAUGGCAAACCACGCUGGAAUUGAACCUACAACUUCUUGAUUACAGUAUGACUGCUCCCCCCAGCCAUGCUGAUGUGGGAGCAUGACUGUUGAGGGAUUUUAUUGAAAAAUGUAAACUGUCUAACAUGUUGGGGCCUGAGCGACACCUCCAGGCUCACCUGGUCCUCCUGCCUCUACAGGACACACACAUUCAUGUCGGCACAUGCUGAAUGCAAACAGGCACACACUUCUGUACACUGAAAAUCUUGCAGUAGGAGAAUAUAAUUUGAAUGUCUUAUUCUUGAUGUUCUUGACAAUCAGAGAGUUGUGUUUGAUUUCACCUUCCUCUGCUGCUGCAUAAUGUUGUGGUGUUAGGCAUGGCAUUUAAUCACAAGUUUCCUACUGAUUGCUGUAUGAACAUGUGUGAUUGGGUGAAUGUAGCUUAAGGUGCUUCGAGUGGUCAGUAGGACUGGAAAUGAGUGAUUUAGCAGGAUUUGAAGAUGUUAGAACUAAAUUAGUUGCCCUCUUUUGUAAGUUGUUUACUUUAAGCAUUUAAAAGUUGCAGCAUAGCAGCUCUCCAGAACUGGACUGGAUGCAGCGUUGGCCCUUUGCAGACCUCAUAUUUUAUGACUGAUUACAUUAGAUCUUCAAGUUACCUGCUUUACAUGCAAAUAACCACAAAACCACAUACAAAUCCAGUUCAGCAUAUUUGUUCAUAAAAUAAAUCUAUAUAAAUAAACAGAGAAACAAAUCUGUAUUUUCCCAAAAUAAAGUCACUAUGCUUACAACUUGUAAGUAAAGGGACUGAGACAUGCAUAUGUUUUAUUUCUUCUUGACAUUGAUGUCAUUUUAGAAUAAUUAUUUGUUAAAGCCGAGUCCCAUUCCAAAGGCUCAUAAAAAUCUAUCACUUAUUGUUUAUUCCCAUAAUGUCUCAUUUAUAGGUAUAAAUGAGAUAUUAUUUUUAAUGUCUCAUUAUAAAGCAUUCAAGAUGCUACCUUAUCCUUUUUUCUGACAGUAACAGAUAUUUAAUCUCAACAGCAGUUUCGAAAUAAGACUCAGCAUAUUAAUCUCUCGUCUUUCAUAAACUCACAUGUUGAUUCUGCUGACAUGUUUCAGCAGCUUUGGCAUCAUAAACCAUAGACCUUCUUGUUAUGGACAGUGUGCAGGGUUAUGUCUUGUCCUACUGCUUUGACUAAUAAUUCAUCAGUAGCUGGUGCUUCACUCUAUAACUGGAUUAACAUUCUAGACAAAUGUGUUUAAAAUAAUGUCUGAAAAAGUUUAAGUUGUGCAGAGGGAGGUAAAUAAUCAUGCAACUACAGUAGCAGAACGGAAUUAGAUGGAGUUCUUCAUAAUCCGUAUUUUCUGUUUAUUGGUCACCAAAACCAUGCAGUAGUUCUCCGAGAUGUUCUUGGAGAUCUUGAGAUGCUCAGACAUCCCAUGAGGUGAGUCAUCUUUGGGUCUGUGACAGUUCCAGUACCAGAUGGCCUGUCUUGGCAGCUUGGUUGGCCAUCAUCAGUGCCUGUUGGAUGCCUCCUCUUCCCAUGUGUUUCUUUAGCACUUAUCAGUCUAUGCAAGUAACCACAUACAAACUGAGUUCAGUAUCAGUUUGACCUGUUUGUUUCUACUCAUUAAAGUCAAAAUUUACACAGUAAUCAGAUUCUCUAUUAAACUCUUACAAGUUGGUGGCCAGUGUUGUGGGUUAAGCUUUCUACUGUCUGUGUUAUUGACAGGCUGCAGUAUUUCUGUGAAAAUAUUUCUCUGUUGCGUUCAUCUGCUGCUCUGGCAGCUCAACCAUUUCUUUCUCUUCUUGAAUUUUUUCCAUCUUCUGUCCUUUUUAAAGGGAGGAAAUCACUACGUUUGGCUUUUGAUGUUCCCUCUGCACCCAUUUAUCUUAAGGAUCAUUUCUGCCUUGAUGAUAUGGCUUGUUGGCCUCAGUAUUAGGAAUAUAAUAUAGUGCAAACACAUCCAUACAAGAUGAAACCUUUCUUACGCAAGUAAAAAAAAAAAUUGUAAUUCAAUAAUUUUAAGGAAUUCCUUGACUCAUGAGUAAACCAUGAACUUAAUUGUUUUUAAUAAACAACACACAAACAAGCAGAUAUUGGUGGUUCUGUACUGGCAGGUGGAAGUGGAGAUCCAGAUCACAUUGUGUUAAAGGCUGGGUACAACAUUAAACUUGCUCUGCUUGCCUCCCACUUAUACAGACAAAGAAACACCAAACAUUAAAAACAUUAAAUCUUUCACAAACAAUAGUACAAAAUGAGUUU